rnacentral:rRNA from 1 species
CGCCUUGCCAGCCCGCUCAGAACUUAAAGGAAGUUGACGGGGGCCCGCACAAGCGGUGGAGUAUGUGGUUUAAUUCGAUGCAACGCGAAGAACCUUACCUGGUCUUGACAUCCCGGAGACCCUUAGGAAACUAGGGGGUGCUUCCAUCUGGAAGAAUCUGGAGACAGGUGCUGCAUGGCUGUCGUCAGCUCGUGUCGUGAGAUGUUGGGUUAAGUCCCGCAACGAGCGCAACCCUUGCCUUUAGUUGCCAGCAGUUCGGCUGGGCACUCUAAAGGGACUGCCGGUGUUAAACCGGAGGAAGGUGGGGAUGACGUCAAGUCCUCAUGGCCUUUAUGACCAGGGCUACACACGUACUACAAUGGCCGAUACAAAGGGCAGCGACACUGCGAGGUGAAGCCAAUCCCGUAAAAUCGGUCUCAGUCCGGAUUGGAGUCUGCAACUCGACUCCAUGAAGUUGGAAUCGCUAGUAAUCGUGGAUCAGCAUGCCACGGUGAAUACGUUCCCGGGCCUU